GACGAACGCUGGCGGCGUGCUUAACACAUGCAAGUCGAACGGAAAGGCCCUGCUUUUGUGGGGUGCUCGAGUGGCGAACGGGUGAGUAACACGUGAGUAACCUGCCCUUGACUUUGGGAUAACUUCAGGAAACUGGGGCUAAUACCGGAUAGGAGCUCCUGCUGCAUGGUGGGGGUUGGAAAGUUUCGGCGGUUGGGGAUGGACUCGCGGCUUAUCAGCUUGUUGGUGGGGUAGUGGCUUACCAAGGCUUUGACGGGUAGCCGGCCUGAGAGGGUGACCGGUCACCUUGGGACUGAGAUACGGCCCAGACUCCUACGGGAGGCAGCAGUGGGGAAUAUUGCACAAUGGGCGGAAGCCUGAUGCAGCAACGCCGCGUGCGGGAUGACGGCCUUCGGGUUGUAAACCGCUUUCGCCUGUGACGAAGCGUGAGUGACGGUAAUGGGUAAAGAAGCACCGGCUAACUACGUG
rnacentral:rRNA from 1 species